AGGGUAGAAACCCUGCGGAAGGAUGCAUUA
rnacentral:rRNA from 1 species